GAUGAAGAACGUAGCGAAAUGCGAUACGUAAUGUGAAUUGCAAAUUCAGUGAAUCAUCGAGUCUUUGAACGCACAUUGCGCCCCCUGGUAUUCCGGGGGGCAUGCCUGUCCGAGCGUCAUUGCUGCCCUCAAGCACGGCUUGUGUGUUGGGCCCCGUCCUCCGAUCCCGGGGGACGGGCCCGAAAGGCAGCGGCGGCACCGCGUCCGGUCCUCGAGCGUAUGGGGCUUUGUCACCCGCUCUGUAGGCCCGGCCGGCGCUUGCCGAUCAACCCAAAUUUUUAUCCAGGUUGACCUCGGAUCAGGUAGGGAUACCCGCUGAACUUAAGCAUAUCAAUAAGAGGA
rnacentral:misc_RNA from 1 species